GGAUGCGAUCAUACCAGCACUAAAGCACCGGAUCCCAUCAGAACUCCGAAGUUAAGCGUGCUUGGGCGAGAGUAGUACUAGGAUGGGUGACCUCCUGGGAAGUCCUCGUGUUGCAUUGC
rfam:Sorghum bicolor cultivar BTx623 unplaced genomic scaffold super_1169, whole genome shotgun sequence.